UACGGAGGAGGCAAGCGUUAUCCGGAAUUAUUGGGCGUAAAGCGUCCGUAGGUGGCUCUCUCAAGUCUGCGGUCAAAGACCGGGGCUCAACCCUCGAAUGCCGGUGGAUACUGUCGGGCUAGAGUGCGGAAGAGGCGAGUGGAAUUCCUGGUGUAGCGGUGAAAUGCGCAGAUAUCAGGAGGAACACCUAUUGCGAAGGCAGCUCGCUGGGACGUAACUGACGCUGAGACGCGAAAGCGUGGGGAGCAAACAGG
rnacentral:rRNA from 1 species